rnacentral:misc_RNA from 1 species
UUCCUCUGAUCAAAAGAAUGAGGAUCAUCCUAUUGUUUCAUCAAUAUUAGAUAGCUCUUUUGUUAACUUUUUCAAGAGGGUGGAGACAGAUAUCAGAGAAACUAUUGCAGAUAUAUACAGUCGUCCAAAAAGUGAGGUAGCAGUUGUGCCUGCUGAAUUGGAUCAGAAGGGUGGAGAAAGUGAUAAAGACUAUAUCAAGCGGCUGAAAUCAUUUGUGGAGAAGCAAUGCUCUGAGAUACAGAAUCUUCUUGGUCGGAAUGCAACUUUGGCAGAGGAACUGGCCAAGACAGGUGGGCGUGGCUCUUCCCAAACUGAACAAAGUGCAAGUGGGGGCUUAGAAAGAGUCCAAGCAGAGACACUCAGAAGAGAUCUUGAGGAAGCUUCUCAACGUAUAGAGAUGCUCAAAGUAGAAAAGGCCAAAAUUGAAUCUGAGGCAUCCAUGUACCAGAAUUUAGCUGGGAAGAUGGAGUCAGAUCUAAAGAGUCUGUCUGAUGCUUACAACAGCCUUGAACAGGCCAACUUCCAUCUAGAAAA